CGAAUUUUGCAAAACCACAAAACUGGUUGGAUAAAGCUUGCUACAGUAUCCGGAUAUGGAUCACGAGUCCAGUCACCGCGCGGCCGCAGGCCGUGCAGCGCCGCGUGCGCGCCUCGCCGCCACGCAGCUGCUUGCCGGCCGCGUCACCGCGCGACGUGGACGCCCGUGACCUCUGCGUCUCGACCUCUUGAGCGCCUGCGCGGCCGACCUCGAGCUCACUUACUCCGGCGACCGAAAGCACCCAGUGAAGCUCCACCGUCCAAUACCCUCUACACGCAACCCCUCUGGCCAAUUCGAGUUCUCCAACACCUUCGCCAUAUCCUUGCGAACCCCGUGUACGCCCAGGAACCCUCCCUGCCCCUCUCAAUCGCCCGGGCGCCGUCUUUCUUCCUCAGCUCCGGCUGAAAACGCCGCCGAGGAGCACCUCAACGUGGACAGGCCACCUCGAGCCAUUGCAGGACAAGAUACGGCCACCAUCAGGUGCGCACUAGUCCGGGCGAGCUUCCCCGCUGCUCCAAUGCCGCCGACGAGCACUCCAGCGCCGAAACCACGAUCUCCGGCGAGUUCCUCUGUUUUCAGUCGCGGCCAGGGACUUCGGGCGACAAUUUGAAGUUUCCCAGGGGUCUAAUUGCAGAGACUGUGACUCAGGUGAAUAGUGCUAUAAGGACUUGUUUGUAGAUGUUUUGUUGAAUCUUUAAAAAUUCAUAUCUAGAGUUUGGUAGCUCCAAUUUUGGUGAACCAAAUUUUGUUGUGCUCCUUGAGAUGUCUAGUUUUUAUUAAAAAUAUGAAACUGACCAUGUUUUGUAGUAAAAUAAUUGGUUAUGAUUUAUGCCUUUUAAUUAUGUUUAAAAAAGGAGAAAUUCAUAUCUUAUUCUGUGUAGAUCCUAUUGCCCUGAAAUUUUUAUGGUGUUCUCAUGAUGUUAUGUGAAUGUUGCAGUAAAAAUUUCAUGUUCAGUAAAUGAUAUAUGGUUAAGUUAUUAAUUUAUCUUAUUUAAUGCUUAUUAAAUAGUUUAAAAUUAAACUAAAAAUAAAUAAAUGUAAAAUAUGGUUCCACUGCCUUUAUAUGAGGUCUUUAUAUCAUACAAAUACAUAAUUUAGCUAUGUGUUUGUAGAAAAUGUCGAGUUUCUUAUUUAUCUUGAUGCUACAUGCUUUCUUGUGAUGGAAAUUUAUCUUUUUCAUGGAAAUUGCUAUACUUAUACAAAUGGUAUGAAAUUUAUACAGUAGACUUUGGAGAGCAUAUAUGUGCUUCUGUAGUUUUCUCAGAUUUUAUUGUGUACUUUUGAUAUAUGGUUAUUACUUUGUCUAUUUAUCUAAAUAAAUUAAUAAAGACAUAAAAAGAAUUUAUUUAGGGAUGACCAUGAUAUUUUCUAGUAUCUCUUUGAUGUAUUUCAACUUUUGGUGAGCUGGGUUUUGCCCAGGUUCAAGUUUGGAACAUAAAUGAAAUAUGAUUUCUCUAUAAUUUAAUUGUUAGUGGUUUCUUGAUAGUUUUUAGAGCAUUAUGAAUUUCUCUAGGUAAAUAAUGUUGGAUAUGAAACUUGUCUAUAACAAAGUUGUAUAGAAUUCAUGUAUCUAGCUGGUGUUAAAUUUUGGUGGCAUUUGGCUCUAUAGUUUCUGAGUUAUGCCUGUUUAAAUUUAAGUUUCAGAAAUGGUUUCUUUCUGUCAAAUCCUGGAUCAGUUUCUGUAGUUGUGCAAUUUCAACCUACUAAACUUAUGAAUUAUGUUUUCAUGAUAAAAGAUGAAUUGUAGUAAUUUUCAUAAGCUUUCCAAAAUGUUAUGGAUCAUGAAUUUUGAUGAUCUAGAACUCUGGUUAUAGAUGUAUGAAUCUUAAUGUCUGAUUCUGUCCAAGGUCUGGACAGAAUUGUUUAUUCAUACUGUUUGGCCAUGUUAUCUAUUAAAUCAGUUCUCGAAGAUAAUAAUAAAGUUGUAGAAAAUUAUAUAAGCUUUCCAGAAAGUCUAAUAUCACCUUUAUUGGAUGCUUGGAUCUCUAAUUAUGGUUGAAUAAAGUUGUGUAUAUGCUGCUGUCCUGGUUAUGUUGGUAAAUAGAGUUGAUUGUUUUAGCUAGCCUUUACUUAAAUAAUGAUUAGCUUAAUUUCCAAAUUAGAAUUUGAGUGCUUUUGGGAUUAUGUGAUGACCUGAGGUCAUUAUCUUUUAAUGACCUUUGGCACUUAAUUAUUGUUUGAUGUUAAUACUUAAUUAUUGUCUUUAAUAUUUAAUUAAGAAUUUAUUAAGAUAAAUAGAAAGCAUAAUCAUUUUAGGUUUUGAUUGAUCUUUGGGAUUGAUUGAUAACCAGUGGCUACUUGACAUGAUAUGCUCCCUGGUUAAGGAUUCUUUCAUGUAAAUGAUCUUUGUUGCUUAAUAACUACACAACAUUGCUUAAUGAAGAUGAUAAAAUUUGCUUAGUAGUAAUCUAUGCUUUGAUAACUAAGUUAGUUUGUUUCUAUACCAUGAAGGUGAGUUGUACUCGAGGUAGUUUUGUUUGUUGUUAUCAUCCAAGAACAUGUAACCUGUCUUUAUCAUGUCAUGAGCAUCUCAUUGAUCAUGCAUAUGCACCUCUACGUGUAGACUACGCUCCAGAGGAAUCUGAUCCUCAGUGGGUUGCUUCCGAGUUUGUGGGUCCAUCUGGUUUUGCUGAGUUGUCGGACUUCCCUUCCGGUCAAGGCAAGCCCCGGACAUUAAACCCUAUCCUUGUAUUUUCAUAAAGUUAUUUAUAUCACUUGAGUUAAUAUGAUGCAUUAGGUGAAUAGGAGUUGAGUGAAUCCUAUUUGCUGCAUUAUCUACCUUGAUGAUUUCCAUAUUAACCUUGAUACCUGCUUUAUGAAAAUGCUUAGUAUGCUUAGCCCUGCUUAUUAGAUAAGUUUUCAAAUGAGAACGUUUGAAGGGUCGUUGUGGAAUACUGUUAUGGUUAAUAAUGUUUAAACUUGAGACCGGUCGGUGGACUUGCUUUAAGAAUGGAGUCUUAAAGUAGUGUCUCCAACUGUGUCGAUUAAGGACCGUACCGUUGAUUGGCCUGUUGUGAUUGAGAACUUUGAGUACAGCCCACAUGCGGCGGUAAGCCUUACCUAUAGCUAUUCCGAUACUUGAGAACGGCUAACCGCGUACUGGGAGUGGAAAGAUGGCGAGAGUAGCGUGUACCCACCUUACGGAUCUGAGAUGACCGGGAAACAUCUAGAUUGGCUGUAGGAUGGUGGUGUACUGUACUCUCGGGUGACGCUGGACCCGUUCUUGUAUGGGAGGAUCUAUAGAAAAGGUUGACAUAUGCAAGAUUAAGUUCUACAUAUGUCGUGUGGUACUGAAUCCCCAGCUGGGUUUAAUCGAUUCGAAUCGCCGUGUUUCCUCGGAUAUGGAGCCUCAAUCCUCACACCAUCAUCGUAGUAACAAGUGAAUCUUUGGUAUAAGAAAGAUGUGGUAUACUUAUGCAAGUUUGAUAAUAGUUUUGGUUAGUCAUAAAUGAUAACCUUGAGUUAAAACUUGAAAGUAGGUUUAAUCUUAGUAAGCUUUUAUGCAAAAGAAAUGCUUUGAUCUUGCUAAAGCUUUACCUUGAAUCCCUAUAGCCUGCAUACCUGAGUCUUCACCUCUUUUCUAGUCGGUUAAGUCUUGUUGAGUACUUUUGUACUCAGGGUUUUAUAACCCCUGUUGCAGGUGCUGACUUAGACUGCUAAUGGAGGUCAUGUCGGUGGGCGCGACAUGAUUUAUCCACCUCUUCUACCUUAGAAGCUUCACCUAAGAUGCUUCCGCUACUCUAUACACCUUUUGGAAAUUUAGUUAAGUUUAUACUUCAUCAUAUGUUGUAAAUUAAGUUAUAAAUCUUCCGCACUCUGAUGUAAGUUAUUUUUGUAACAAAUGUUGUAAUGUUGUGGUAACUCCAUGUUGAUCCUGUAUGAGAUAAAAUGUGGAUGAUUCGGGGUCCUCCGAGGAUACCCGACAAACUUCUUGAGUCAUUUGGAACUCGUGCAUGCCGAUCACAAGUCUUGGAGACAAUGAUGGGUGCAUGUGGGCCACUUAAUUCAGGAGGUUCUGCCACAGCUGGUAUCAGAGCUCAUACAUGGAUCUUCUGCAACAUUACUUGUGAAAAAUUUCAAAAGGAAUUUACAAAUUAAAAGUUUUGAGGAUAACAACUUAUAAAUAUUCCUUAACUUUUCUUAUGCUUGCUGUUCGGGUUCUACGAAGACUUUCUGCUGACUCAAAUAGAAGACAUUAAAAGAGGCUUCAAGUCUUCGACAAGCCAAGUAAAGAAUCAAACUACUCCAACAAUGCUUUGUCAACAGUCUUGCAGCCUCCCUUUUGAAGCAAUAAAGAUAGUGUAUAAAGUAUGCCCUAUAUAAGCAAUUAUCUCCUAGCUAACGUUGUAAAGACGUAUGGGACGAGCAUAUUGCAUAUCUUGCAUAACAUGACAAUAUAAUGAUACUUAAAAGCCCCUCCUUAUGCUUCAAAACAGUUAUUAUUCGUUAUAGCUGUUUUAUUGAUGAAUCUCAUCAUGUACCAGGUUUCGUUAACUGAUUGAUAAUCUUUUACUCCAUAAGAUCCUAAUCCUUGAUUCAUUUGUUAUGCAUGUGACCUUCCUUGAUUUCAUCUAAUUCGGACACAUGCUACCUCCUUGAUAUCUUUUGUCAACAUUUUUGUUGAUUGAAUGUCACUAUGAUUGUGUCCUCUUAAGGUACCAUGACUUGUGACUUAGGUAACAAUGUCAAAACCUGGGAUCUCCUAUGGCUCAUGACCAUGAGGAAAUACUGCUGGGCGCUCAUUGUUAUCAAAGUAUAUGAUCAUGAUCCCUUAUAGUCCACAAUUAGGGUGUUUCAUUCUUUGGACACUCCUUAGGGAUUCAAAGUUGUCCUUUUGAGUUCCCUAAACACCUUGUGAUUGUGAUCGACUUUUGAUCUCAGUUACAUUCUUGGUCUUGUGAGACAUGGGUUAUUGUUGUGGUGCCCUAUAGUGGUGCCAUGUCCCGUGACCACGGUGCCGCGUCGGAACCUAGAGUCUUUUGUGUGUCCGGAUGACACAAAUUUCUACUGGGCGCGUGCAGGUAUCGAGGUUAUGGACAUGAUCCAUUAUAGCCCCACAACUAAGGUGCCCUCGCUCUUUGAGCCCUAUCAUGGGAACCCAUGCCCAUAUCUUUGUGGGAAUUACCUAAAGCCCCUGACUUGGAUAACCAACAUAUGUUGCUUGAAAGCUAUUGUAACUGUACUCUAUAGUAGGUACCAUGAUCCGUGAUCACGUUAUAGCGUCGAACCUCGUAGUCUCCUGUGGACUGCAGCCAUAAGGAAAUACUACAGGGUGCUCGUUAAACAUCGGGAUCUCUGGUCAUGCUCCACUAUAAUCUACUGUUAGUGUGCUUUCAUCCUCCUUGGAAGCUCAUUUGGAGAUUCAUAUCUUCGUAUGAAUUCUCUAAAAUUCCUGAUUGAUUACAACUUCUUGUUGAUCUUAGUUGUAAUUCUUGGACCAAUCGUAAUUGUUGUAUGAACUUCUCAAAAGUUAAUGUGCUUGACACAUUUCCUUUUCCAUUACUUAACCCCAUGGGUUUUAGUACCCUGGAAAUCUCGGGACGAGAUUUCUUUAAGGGGGAAGGGCUGUAACAUCCCUGAUGUUACGAACACUAAAACUGGAUCAUGUCAUCAUAAGCAUUGCAAAGCAUAUUUGUUAAGCACAUUAUUAUGCAUCAACUUAAAAUAAGGUUAUUUUGGUUGAUUGUGCUUAGGAAAUUAAAGUGUGCUUAUAUUGUGUAUGGAUGUUUGUGUUGGUGAUUAAAACCCUGGGUGGAAGUUUUUCCGAAAGACUUAAGGGGGGAAACCCUAGUUUCCAAAACCCUAGAAUUUGUCCCCUUUUGUGCAAUUCAAAAACAAAGCAAAAUUUGAAGUUGAGUUCAAAAGCAAAGUUGUAAAUCUUGUCAAGAUGUACAACUUUGGUGUUUUGAGUUUUUGAAGUUUCAGUACAAAAUUUAAAGUAAUUUUGAAAAUACAAUUUUCCAGAAAUUGUUCCCUUUUCCGAUUUGAAUCCCCAAUUCAAAAUCUAUUUGGAAUUUUGAAAAGUGGUCAACAUGAAAGUUGUAGGGCUCAAAAAGUUGAACAACUUUCAUGUUGGGAGUUUUUCAAGUUGUUUGGAAAAAUUAAAAGUAAUUUUGGAAAUUCUAAUCUGCUCCAAUUCAAAAUUUGGAAUUUCCCCAAUUUGGGAUUUUGAAAUUCAAACUGUUUUGCCAAAUUCACACUUUUCCACUCAGAUUUAGCUUUGGUCACCAAAAGGAGUUUUGUAGCUUGUAAAAUUCUUCACAACUUCCAUUUUGGUGGAAUUUUGUCUUCAGUUCAAAAUUUGGACGAAUUUUGCAAAACCACAAAACUGGUUGGAUAAAGCUUGCUACAGUAUCCGGAUAUGGAUCACGAGUCCAGUCACCGCGCGGCCGCAGGCCGUGCAGCGCCGCGUGCGCGCCUCGCCGCCACGCAGCUGCUUGCCGGCCGCGUCACCGCGCGACGUGGACGCCCGUGACCUCUGCGUCUCGACCUCUUGAGCGCCUGCGCGGCCGACCUCGAGCUCACUUACUCCGGCGACCGAAAGCACCCAGUGAAGCUCCACCGUCCAAUACCCUCUACACGCAACCCCUCUGGCCAAUUCGAGUUCUCCAACACCUUCGCCAUAUCCUUGCGAACCCCGUGUACGCCCAGGAACCCUCCCUGCCCCUCUCAAUCGCCCGGGCGCCGUCUUUCUUCCUCAGCUCCGGCUGAAAACGCCGCCGAGGAGCACCUCAACGUGGACAGGCCACCUCGAGCCAUUGCAGGACAAGCUACGGCCACCAUCAGGUGCGCACUAGUCCGGGCGAGCUUCCCCGCUGCUCCAAUGCCGCCGACGAGCACUCCAGCGCCGAAACCACGAUCUCCGGCGAGUUCCUCUGUUUUCAGUCGCGGCCAGGGACUUCGGGCGACAAUUUGAAGUUUCCCAGGGGUCUAAUUGCAGAGACUGUGACUCAGGUGAAUAGUGCUAUAAGGACUUGUUUGUAGAUGUUUUGUUGAAUCUUUAAAAAUUCAUAUCUAGAGUUUGGUAGCUCCAAUUUUGGUGAACCAAAUUUUGUUGUGCUCCUUGAGAUGUCUAGUUUUUAUUAAAAAUAUGAAACUGACCAUGUUUUGUAUUAAAAUAAUUGGUUAUGAUUUAUGCCUUUUAAUUAUGUUUAAAAAAGGAGAAAUUCAUAUCUUAUUCUGUGUAGAUCCUAUUGCCCUGAAAUUUUUAUGGUGUUCUCAUGAUGUUAUGUGAAUGUUGCAGUAAAAAUUUCAUGUUCAGUAAAUGAUAUAUGGUUAAGUUAUUAAUUUAUCUUAUUUAAUGCUUAUUAAAUAGUUUAAAAUUAAACUAAAAAUAAAUAAAUGUAAAAUAUGGUUCCACUGCCUUUAUAUGAGGUCUUUAUAUCAUACAAAUACAUAAUUUAGCUAUGUGUUUGUAGAAAAUGUCGAGUUUCUUAUUUAUCUUGAUGCUACAUGCUUUCUUGUGAUGGAAAUUUAUCUUUUUCAUGGAAAUUGCUAUACUUAUACAAAUGGUAUGAAAUUUAUACAGUAGACUUUGGAGAGCAUAUAUGUGCUUCUGUAGUUUUCUCAGAUUUUAUUGUGUACUUUUGAUAUAUGGUUAUUACUUUGUCUAUUUAUCUAAAUAAAUUAAUAAAGACAUAAAAAGAAUUUAUUUAGGGAUGACCAUGAUAUUUUCUAGUAUCUCUUUGAUGUAUUUCAACUUUUGGUGAGCUGGGUUUUGCCCAGGUUCAAGUUUGGAACAUAAAUGAAAUAUGAUUUCUCUAUAAUUUAAUUGUUAGUGGUUUCUUGAUAGUUUUUAGAGCAUUAUGAAUUUCUCUAGGUAAAUAAUGUUGGAUAUGAAACUUGUCUAUAACAAAGUUGUAUAGAAUUCAUGUAUCUAGCUGGUGUUAAAUUUUGGUGGCAUUUGGCUCUAUAGUUUCUGAGUUAUGCCUGUUUAAAUUUAAGUUUCAGAAAUGGUUUCUUUCUGUCAAAUCCUGGAUCAGUUUCUGUAGUUGUGCAAUUUCAACCUACUAAACUUAUGAAUUAUGUUUUCAUGAUAAAAGAUGAAUUGUAGUAAUUUUCAUAAGCUUUCCAAAAUGUUAUGGAUCAUGAAUUUUGAUGAUCUAGAACUCUGGUUAUAGAUGUAUGAAUCUUAAUGUCUGAUUCUGUCCAAGGUCUGGACAGAAUUGUUUAUUCAUACUGUUUGGCCAUGUUAUCUAUUAAAUCAGUUCUCGAAGAUAAUAAUAAAGUUGUAGAAAAUUAUAUAAGCUUUCCAGAAAGUCUAAUAUCACCUUUAUUGGAUGCUUGGAUCUCUAAUUAUGGUUGAAUAAAGUUGUGUAUAUGCUGCUGUCCUGGUUAUGUUGGUAAAUAGAGUUGAUUGUUUUAGCUAGCCUUUACUUAAAUAAUGAUUAGCUUAAUUUCCAAAUUAGAAUUUGAGUGCUUUUGGGAUUAUGUGAUGACCUGAGGUCAUUAUCUUUUAAUGACCUUUGGCACUUAAUUAUUGUUUGAUGUUAAUACUUAAUUAUUGUCUUUAAUAUUUAAUUAAGAAUUUAUUAAGAUAAAUAGAAAGCAUAAUCAUUUUAGGUUUUGAUUGAUCUUUGGGAUUGAUUGAUAACCAGUGGCUACUUGACAUGAUAUGCUCCCUGGUUAAGGAUUCUUUCAUGUAAAUGAUCUUUGUUGCUUAAUAACUACACAACAUUGCUUAAUGAAGAUGAUAAAAUUUGCUUAGUAGUAAUCUAUGCUUUGAUAACUAAGUUAGUUUGUUUCUAUACCAUGAAGGUGAGUUGUACUCGAGGUAGUUUUGUUUGUUGUUAUCAUCCAAGAACAUGUAACCUGUCUUUAUCAUGUCAUGAGCAUCUCAUUGAUCAUGCAUAUGCACCUCUACGUGUAGACUACGCUCCAGAGGAAUCUGAUCCUCAGUGGGUUGCUUCCGAGUUUGUGGGUCCAUCUGGUUUUGCUGAGUUGUCGGACUUCCCUUCCGGUCAAGGCAAGCCCCGGACAUUAAACCCUAUCCUUGUAUUUUCAUAAAGUUAUUUAUAUCACUUGAGUUAAUAUGAUGCAUUAGGUGAAUAGGAGUUGAGUGAAUCCUAUUUGCUGCAUUAUCUACCUUGAUGAUUUCCAUAUUAACCUUGAUACCUGCUUUAUGAAAAUGCUUAGUAUGCUUAGCCCUGCUUAUUAGAUAAGUUUUCAAAUGAGAACGUUUGAAGGGUCGUUGUGGAAUACUGUUAUGGUUAAUAAUGUUUAAACUUGAGACCGGUCGGUGGACUUGCUUUAAGAAUGGAGUCUUAAAGUAGUGUCUCCAACUGUGUCGAUUAAGGACCGUACCGUUGAUUGGCCUGUUGUGAUUGAGAACUUUGAGUACAGCCCACAUGCGGCGGUAAGCCUUACCUAUAGCUAUUCCGAUACUUGAGAACGGCUAACCGCGUACUGGGAGUGGAAAGAUGGCGAGAGUAGCGUGUACCCACCUUACGGAUCUGAGAUGACCGGGAAACAUCUAGAUUGGCUGUAGGAUGGUGGUGUACUGUACUCUCGGGUGACGCUGGACCCGUUCUUGUAUGGGAGGAUCUAUAGAAAAGGUUGACAUAUGCAAGAUUAAGUUCUACAUAUGUCGUGUGGUACUGAAUCCCCAGCUGGGUUUAAUCGAUUCGAAUCGCCGUGUUUCCUCGGAUAUGGAGCCUCAAUCCUCACACCAUCAUCGUAGUAACAAGUGAAUCUUUGGUAUAAGAAAGAUGUGGUAUACUUAUGCAAGUUUGAUAAUAGUUUUGGUUAGUCAUAAAUGAUAACCUUGAGUUAAAACUUGAAAGUAGGUUUAAUCUUAGUAAGCUUUUAUGCAAAAGAAAUGCUUUGAUCUUGCUAAAGCUUUACCUUGAAUCCCUAUAGCCUGCAUACCUGAGUCUUCACCUCUUUUCUAGUCGGUUAAGUCUUGUUGAGUACUUUUGUACUCAGGGUUUUAUAACCCCUGUUGCAGGUGCUGACUUAGACUGCUAAUGGAGGUCAUGUCGGUGGGCGCGACAUGAUUUAUCCACCUCUUCUACCUUAGAAGCUUCACCUAAGAUGCUUCCGCUACUCUAUACACCUUUUGGAAAUUUAGUUAAGUUUAUACUUCAUCAUAUGUUGUAAAUUAAGUUAUAAAUCUUCCGCACUCUGAUGUAAGUUAUUUUUGUAACAAAUGUUGUAAUGUUGUGGUAACUCCAUGUUGAUCCUGUAUGAGAUAAAAUGUGGAUGAUUCGGGGUCCUCCGAGGAUACCCGACAGACUUCUUGAGUCAUUUGGAACUCGUGCAUGCCGAUCACAAGUCUUGGAGACAAUGAUGGGUGCAUGUGGGCCACUUAAUUCAGGAGGUUCUGCCACAUUUUGUCCCUUUUUUUCCCCACCUCUAUACAAGUGCAGUUUAAGUUCAAAUUUGGUGGAAUGGUUUAAGGCAUUGUUUAGUUUUAAAAAAAUUUUGUAAAAUUUUUUAGAUUCC
rnacentral:lncRNA from 1 species